AACGAACGCUGGCGGCAUGCCUAACACAUGCAAGUCGAACGAGAUCUUCGGGUCUAGUGGCGCACGGGUGCGUAACGCGUGGGAAUCUGCCCUUUGGUUCGGAAUAACAGUUGGAAACGACUGCUAAUACCGGAUGAUGACGAAAGUCCAAAGAUUUAUCGCCAGAGGAUGAGCCCGCGUAGGAUUAGCUAGUAGGUGUGGUAAAGGCGCACCAAGGCGACGAUCCUUAGCUGGUCUGAGAGGAUGAUCAGCCACACUGGGACUGAGACACGGCCCAGACUCCUACGGGAGGCAGCAGUGGGGAAUAUUGGACAAUGGGCGAAAGCCUGAUCCAGCAAUGCCGCGUGAGUGAUGAAGGCCUUAGGGUUGUAAAGCUCUUUUACUCGGGAUGAUAAUGACAGUACCGGGAGAAUAAGCUCCGGCUAACUCCGUGCCAGCAGCCGCAGUAA
rnacentral:rRNA from 1 species